AGGAGAGAGAGAGAGAGAGAGAGAGAGAGAGAAGACCUGGGUCCCAAUUACUCCAGCAAAAGUCCCAGGAGUGAAUCCGAUUGGCCCUGCCCGGGUCGUGUGCCCAUCCCUGAGCCAACCACUGUAGCUGAGAGAAGGAGUUCUACGAUUGGCCAGCCUAGGUCACAAGAUACACACUCAGCCAAAUAGGAACCCAUUUCCCCUGCAGAGUCUCCUCAACACUCAGCAAAUGUUAGUUGUUCUUUUGUCAUUGUUCACAGAUAAAUGAGGCAGGGUGGGGACUUGUGCUGUGUGCAUGCUCCACCCUGUCCUGGUCACAGGGAGGCUGGGGACCUCACUCCCCUUUGUGCUAUGGCACUAUCAACAACUGCCGUGAUGACUGACCCCCAGAGCCACCUACACUCUGUCCCCUGGUAGAUGCUCCUCACCCAUCUGCCCUGGGCAUGGCUGGGGACAGCAGUCUCAUUGUCAGCCCUGAGCACUGGCUUCGGCUGCUGUAAGGACAGGGGCUGGUGAGUGAGGCCAGGGGCAAAGGUGCCUGACCACAGGCAGAAAGUACCGUGGAGGCACUUGCUGUGGGCAGCACAGCCCUGGCUGCUCCCGCCCGGCCUGCAGAUGGCCCUGAAACUGGGCUCAGAUGCACGGGGACCACAGGCCCCUGGAGAACCCCGUCCAAGGCUCAGGCUGAGGGUCUGGCCUGAGGGACAGCGGGAGGACCAGCUGUGCCAAGCCCAGCAAGACACCACAGAGGGAGCCCGAGAUCUCUACCAGAAGAGGGGCUGCCAGCCCUGGGGCCACAGCCUCCAGCCCCCCAGUGCUGGGUGCCUCCCCCACACUCCUGCCCAGGUUUAAGCUCUGUGAGCCUCGGCUUUAGCCUCCACAUCAUGGGGCUGCUCUG
rnacentral:lncRNA from 1 species